UAAAAAUGUUUAUAGUUUGGAUAAUUUAUUUAAAGUUUAUUUUACAUAUAAAUUUUAGUGUUAAAUUUAAAUUAUUUUAAUAAUAAUUUAAAUUAAUUAAUGUGUAGUAAUUAAUAUUAAAUUAUUUAAGAAAUUGAGAUUUAGUAAUAUUUAAAUUUAUAACAAAUUUUGUGCCAGCAGUUGCGGUUAAACAAAAAUUGAGUUAAAUUUUAUUAGUAAUUAAUUAAUAAAUAGAUAAUAAUUUAAAAUUUAAAUUAUUAGGUGAAAUUUUAAUUUAAGAAAAUAUUAUUUUAAUUUUAUGAUUUGAUAAUUUUUUAAAAAGACUAGGAUUAGAUACCCUAUUAUGAAAAUUUUAAAUUUAAAAUACUAAAAUAGUAAAUAAUUAUUUAUUGAAACUUAAAUAAUUUGGCGGUAUUUUAGUUCAUUUAGAGGAAUCUGUUUAAUAAUUGAUAAUCCACGAAUAAAUUUACUUAAUUUAGAAUUUUGUAUAUCGUUGUUAAAAAAAUAUUUUUUAAUAAUAUUAAUAUUUAAAAAUUUUUAUUUAAAAUUAAAUCAGAUCAAGAUGCAGAUUAUAAUUAAGAAUAUAAUGGAUUACAAUAAUUUUAUUUAGAUGAAUUUUAAUUUGAAAAAAUUAAUUGAAAGUGGAUUUAAAUGUAAUUUUAUUUAAUUUAAUAAAAUGAUUAUAAAUUAAAAUAUGUACAUAUUGCCCGUCGCUUUCAUAUGUAUGUAUAUAUAGUUAUUAUAUAUAUAUUUAAAUAAAUUGAAAUAAGUCGUAACAAAGUAGAGGUACUGGAAAGUGUUUCUAGAAAGA
rnacentral:ncRNA from 1 species